CUACGGGAGGCAGCAGUCGAGAAUUUUUCACAAUGGGCGAAAGCCUGAAGGAGCGACGCCGCGUGGGGGAUGAAGGGUUUCGAUCCGUAAACCCCUGUCAUUUGUGAACAAUGGUUAUUCGUGAAUAACGGGUGACUUGAUAGUAAUGAAAGAGGAAGGGACGGCUAACUCUGUGCCAGCAGCCGCGGUAAUACAGAGGUCCCGAGCGUUGUUCGGAUUCACUGGGCGUAAAGGGUGCGUAGGUGGCGUGGUAAGUUUGAUGUGAAAGCUCAGGGCUUAACCCUGAAAUGGCAUUGAAUACUACUGUGCUGGAGGUUUGGAGGGGGGACUGGAAUUCUUGGUGUAGCAGUGAAAUGCGUAGAUAUCAAGAGGAACACCAGUGGCGAAGGCGAGUCCCUGGACAACACCUGACACUGAGGCACGAAAGCUAGGGGAGCAAACAGGAUUAGAUACCCCUGUAGUCC
rnacentral:rRNA from 1 species